rnacentral:rRNA from 1 species
UACGGGGGGUGCGAGCGUUGUCCGGAAUCACUGGGCGUAAAGGGCGCGUAGGUGGUCUGAUAAGGGUGUGGUGAAAGCCCGGGGCUCAACCCCGGGUCGGCCGUGCCGACUGUUAGACUAGAGUACUGUAGGGGCAGGCGGAAUUCCGGGUGUAGCGGUGGAAUGCGUAGAGAUCCGGAGGAAGACCGGUGGCGAAGGCGGCCUGCUGGGCAGUUACUGACACUGAGGCGCGACAGCGUGGGAGCAAACAGG